UGGCGAACGGCUGAGGAACACGUAUGCACCAACCCCGGUGUGGGGGAUAACGCGGCGAAAGCCGUGCUAAUCCCGCAUACGCUCUUAACGAGGAAAGUCGCAAGACGCACCGGAACGGGCGUGCGGCCCAUCAGGUAGUUGGCGGGGUAACGGCCCACCAAGCCCGUGACGGGUAGCUGGUCUGAGAGGACGACCAGCCAGACUGGGACUGUGACACGGCCCAGACUCCUACGGGAGGCAGCAGCAAGGAAUUUUCGGCAAUGGGCGCAAGCCUGACCGAGCAACGCCGCGUGCAGGAUGACGGCCUUCGGGUUGUAAACUGCUUU
rnacentral:rRNA from 1 species